AGAGUUUGAUCCUGGCUCAGAAUGAACGCUGGCGGCGUGCUUAACACAUGCAAGUCGAACGAUGAAGCCCAGCUUGCUGGGUGGAUUAGUGGCGCACGGGUGAGUAAUAUAUAGAUAACGUGCCUCUUAGUCUGGGAUAGCCAUUGGAAACGAUGAUUAAUACCGGAUACUCCUUCUAACUCUAAUGUUAGUCGGGAAAGUUUUUCGCUAAGAGAUCGGUCUAUAUCCCAUCAGCUUGUUGGUAGUGUAAGAGACUACCAAGGCUAUGACGGGUAGCGGGUUUGAGAGGAUGAUCCGCCACACUGGUACUGAGACACGGACCAGACUCCUACGGGAGGCAGCAGUGAGGAAUAUUGCACAAUGGAGGAAACUCUGAUGCAGCAACGCCGCGUGGAGGAUGACGCAUUUCGGUGUGUAAACUCCUUUUAUAUGUCAAGAAAAUGACGGUAGCAUAUGAAUAAGCACCGGCUAACUCCGUGCCAGCAGCCGCGGUAAUACGGAGGGUGCAAGCGUUAUUCGGAAUCACUGGGCGUAAAGGACGCGUAGGCGGGUUGGAAAGUCAGAUGUGAAAUCCUACAGCUUAACUGUAGAACUGCAUUUGAAACUUCUAAUCUAGAGUAUGGGAGGGGGAGAUGGAAUUAGUGGUGUAGGGGUAAAAUCCGUAGAUAUCAC
rnacentral:rRNA from 1 species